rnacentral:misc_RNA from 1 species
GAGUUCGCGGGAGAGUAAGUUAUUGCCAGGGUUUUUAUUUUAUACUUUAAACAUUGAUUUUAUUUUUUAUAUUAUUUGAAUGUUUUAUUCAAAUAAUAUAAAAAAUAAAAUAUAUAUUGACAUGGAUUAAACAAAGAUAUAUAUUAUUCUAUGUUGUAUAAACAAAUUGGCAAAAUAGAGAUGGAAGAUAAAAAUAUGGUCAAAGUAAUAAGAGUCUAUGGUGAAUGCC